AGUGAACGCUGGCGGCGUGCUUAAUACAUGCAAGUCGAACGAGAACGGAUUAUAGCUUGCUAUAAUUGUCAGCUAAGUGGCGCACGGGUGAGUAAUGUAUAGGUAAUAUGCCUCUUACUAAGGGAUAACAAAUGGAAACGUUUGCUAAUACCUUAUACUCCUUAUUAACAGAAGUUAAUAGGGGAAAGAUUUAUUGGUAAGAGAUUAGCCUGUAUUGUAUCAGUUAGUUGGUGGGGUAAUGGCUUACCAAGACUAUGACACAUAACUGGUUUGAGAGGAUGAUCAGUCACACUGGAACUGAGACACGGUCCAGACUCCUACGGGAGGCAGCAGUGGGGAAUAUUGCACAAUGGACGAAAGUCUGAUGCAGCAACGCCGCGUGGAGGAUGACACAUUUCGGUGCGUAAACUCCUUUUAUAUGAGAAGAUAAUGACGGUAUUAUAUGAAUAAGCACCGGCUAACUCCGUGCCAGCCGCCGCAGUAA
rnacentral:rRNA from 1 species